GGAAUCAAGACUUCAAAAUCACCAAGAUUUCAUCUUCUUCAAUACGCUUCUGCAUCUCUAUCUCAAAUCGAUGACAAGAUUUCAUCUUCUUCCCUAAGAUUCAUCGGUUUUCAUCUCUCAAUUUAGGGUUUCGGCUAUAUAUUUCUUAUAAUCCGAAGAACACACAACCUUCAUUCGCAUCUAGGGUUUCUGUUUCUUCCAUCAUACAUCUCCUUCUCAUCAUCCCUAAAUCUCAUUCCUGAAAGAUCAUCAAUACCAAGAUCAUAGGUACGAAUCGCUCCUCACCUCUAAAGUCGGCAUCUGCUUGGUUUUGCGAUAAAGAAACCGCUCAUUUGCUCAAGAACCAAUCUUUGGAUUCUCAAUGAAGACAUUAGUUAUUCAUGAGUCCGUUAAGAAGAUGAGGCAUAAAGGUUUAUGUAACAAUAUGU